CUUCAGGAGAGGCUGCCAUUGUGUGAAUUAGAUGAGGAAUUAGAUGAGGAAACAAGAUGAACAAGAUCUGUUAGCUCAGGAAGGGAGGGAGAGAGAGAAAAAAAGACAGACAGAGGGGAAGAGCGAGUGGAGGAGAGAGAAAGAGAAAAAGAAAGGAGGAGGAGAGAGAAAGAAGGAAGGGCGAGGGAUGGGAUGGAACCUGUCGGUGGCCUGAGGGGAAUGAAUGGCCAUGGCGGCACCUUUUGCAGCAAGGAAGGGCCCAGUCAACCAAAGUUUCUGUUUGGGGCUACCGAGGCCAUUGGUGGAGGGAAGCAGGCAGGCAAGGGACAGGCUCAGGCCUGUCAGCAGCCUGAGGGGAACAAGUGGCCAUGGCGGUGGCGGCAGCAAGGAAGGGCCUGGUCAACCGUUGCUGCUGCUCCUGUGGGGAGGUCUCUGGGGAUAAGGGGCUGCAGCUUGGGCAAUAGGCACCAGCAACGCUGCAGCCGCAACCAAGUGGGGGGGGGUGAGUGAGAUGGAGUAAAGGGAUGGAAGAGUGACCAAGAGGCAUGAGGGGGAUGGAAGCAACCAGAUGGAGGAGCAGGAGCAGGAGUGCAGCUCAGCUCUCUGGUGACAGAAGGAGGGCUAUGAGCCUGCAAAGAGACUUCAGGAUCCCUGCAUUGUGGACCUUGUGCAGCAGACUAGGUGCAAAGAGGAAGAAAUUAACAAAUCAACAAAUAACCAGGGCUGGAUGGAUACUCAAAAGUGAAAAUGCUGAAUUCCUAGCAAGAAUAUCUAACUCAUCCCUACAAUCAGGUUCUGCACCAGAGGACUGGAAACGUGCAUCAGCAAUGACGUCUCUUGUUCCUCGGCUUUUUCUGAAACCAGCGUGAACAUCCGGCAUUUCCCUUUCCACGCAGGGCUCUAAUCUGUGUUGGAUGAUCCUGAGCAUUAUUCUGCUAGCGUGUGAAAUUAAGGAUAUUGUGUGAUGGUUUGCGCAAACUGUUCAGCCUCCUUUCUUUGGUAUGGGUAUGUAGACUGGCCUCUUCCAAUCUGUUGGCCACUGUGUUGUUCUCCAAAUUUGCUGGCAUAGUUUGUUUAGAGCCUUGACUGAUUCUUCUUCUGUUGUUUGCCAUAUUUCUGUAGCUAUUCCGACUUGGAAUACACUAAUUCCUGUAGCCUUCCGAUUUGGUAAGGACCAGAGUGCUGAUCAAAAUCCAUCUUCCCGUACGAGAGAGGGGUUCUUGUAAGUAGGGAAUAUCUUCCCUACUUACAUCUAGGAUGUUGACAUCCCUGUUGUACAGAUUUUCAGUAUACUCCUUCCAUCUCUGUUGUAACCUGUCCUUUGGCAUGUUUAGAUUUAGGAUAGUGAAAUCCAAAACAGAUUUCAAGGAGGUCCAAAAGGAUCUCUCCAAACUGGGUGAGUGGGUGAGAAUAUGGCAAAUGUGGUUCAAUCUAAGUGUAAAGGGAUGCAUAUUGGGGCAAAAAAACCCUUCACAUAUACACUAAUGGGAUCUGAGCUGUUGGUAACUGACUAGGAUAGGUUACUUGGGGUUGUGGUGGACAUUGCUGAAAGUAUCAGCUCAGUUGAUAGCUGUGAAAAAGGUAGAUUCUAGGCUAGGGAUCAUUAGGAAGGGGAUUGAAAAUAAAACUGCUAAUAUUAUAAUGCUUUUAUUCCAGUCUAAGGUGUGACUACAUUUAGAAUAUUGUGUACAGUUCUGGUCAUCGUAUCUCAAAAAGGACAUUCUAAACCUGGAAAAGGUGCAGAGGAAGGCAACCAAGAUUGUCAGGGGCCUAGAGCACCUUCCUUAUAAGAGCCAAUGGACACUACCAUGAUGAAGAGGGCUUCUUGUACUUUACAAAAGUAUGUCCUAUUUUGUCUCUUAAAAAGCUCGAAGCAACUAAAAACAAAAGCAUUGAACAAAACUUAAAACUAUAAACCAAUGCACCUAGCAGGAAAAUAGACAUAAGUACAUGGAAAACAUGAGCAAGAAUGAAAAACAGCCAUAUUCAAUAAAAGAAGAGAAAUAAUCCCUAUUGCAGCAUCAUGAAGGAAACACAGAAGUUUAUUCAAGUACCAAGUCCCCGCCGCCGCCCUUGGCAUCUAAAGUCAUUCAGUGUUGAGGCCAGAUCGAUUCCUUUAGGGAAGGCAUUCUAGAGACCUGGCAUCACUAGAAAGAAGGCCUUGCUCCUGGUGGACACACGCUAGGGCAGCUGGAGUAAGCCCUUGAAUGUUGUCUGCACUGAGAGGUACUGUAUGUAUGGGCCCUUAAGAUACCCAUAUCCCAAGCCAUUUAGAACUUUAUAAGUGAGAACCAGAAUUGUAAACUGAGCCUGGAAAUGAAUGAAGUCGUCCACACAAGCAGCCCUACAGGGGUAGGAAAGAGCUACCCCAGGUAGGGGUGGUUGUCUGUAGUGCCAGGAUUGCUCCUGAUCCCGGUGCUCCACCCCUACUUUCAAACUCGGGCUAGAAAUAAGCUAUGAGAACAAGUGCACACCUCCUACCUCAUUCCUGGGUCCCAGGCUGCCAGCAGCCAUCUUUUCUAUAGACCCAGGGGGAAGGAGUGGCCCUGCAGCAGGAAAUGUUCCUGAUGCACCAUGCUGCAUCCUGGAUGUUAUUGCUUGGGUGGUCCACUGGUGUUGAAGAAGUACUUGGCUACAAGUUGUGAUUUGAAUAGAAAUGGAAGCCGGGGAGAUCUCUGGCAUUACUCACCACACAAGUAGUGAGGAAGGAAGAACCUUGAGUUGCUAUCUGCUGAGGCUUCUUACAUGGGUGGAAGGAAAUCUGCAUUACAUCCCCUGUUGUACAUACUAACUAGUCUGCUCCAAUUCUCUGCAUAUGCUCAAGUGCAAUCAGAGUGGCAUAUCCAUAGUCCUAUUACAGUCAUGCAAUGGCCUGAGGGCAGCAGGAGAGCCUAAUCAAAACAACACAUAAUCUCAGGAAUGCAGCAGGCUAAAGCUUAUCUUCCUAUUAGGAUAUCGCUAUGUUUCUGGCUGGGGGGUACACCAAAAUGCACAACAUGGUGAUGUGAGUGAGCCUGGCAACAUGCCAUCUGCUUGCCUGGCUCCUUCUGGGUAGAUGUGAAGCAGGAAGCCAACUGAUUGAUUGAUUAAGUGCUGUCAAGUCGGUGUCGACUCUUAGGAACUACAUAGAUAGAUUAUCUCCAGGAUGAUCUGUCUUCAAUUUGGCCUUUAAGGACUCUCAUUGCUGUUGUAAUUGAGUCCAUCCACUUUGUGGUGGAUAAUGAACUGCAAAUGUUGAUGUAGUGUGCUGCAGCAGUAAAGAAAGCAAAUUCCACUAAAACAUAAACUUACAUACGGUAUUUGAAAAGAUAAAGCAAAACUCAAACUCUCUUCAGCAGGAAAUGCAGGAAGGUAAUAUGCAGUGUGCCUUAUAAGAAGUAAUGGGCAAUCCACAAUCACUAACUAAAUAAUUUUUAGAUAUUACAAAAUAUUAGAAACCAGUAGAUGGUGCUCUUUCUGUUAAGGACCAUACUUUUUAAGCAUCUUCAUCUAAAUACUGUGGGAAAUACUAUGGUCAACAUAUUUUAAUCUGUUCCUUGUACUUUAGAAUCAUAGAUGCAGGCUCAGAGUGUGGCAGUUGCUUCCAAAAAUGAGGGAUGCAAGGAGUUCCAUCCACCCUGCCAUGUCACUGCUAGGAUAUCUUUCCUUGCUCAACCCACUCAAGGCUCUUUCUGAAUGCUCUAUCCCACAUUUGACAAUAGAAGCCGCUUCUAUCAGUCAUGAGAGCUGCCAGGAGUUUAGAGCCUUUGGUUCUGCACACAGCUGCCCCAUGGGGCCCUUCUCACUUAUUGCCCUCAGCCUUUGGAAUGCUCUCCUGGUAGGAAUUCAUUCCUCAGUCUCCAUUACAGUUUUUAGCAAGCAAGUGCAAUCUUGGCUUUUUACCCAGGCUUUUCUGUGAGUUUUGUUUCUGUGGCUGCUGCUCUGUAUUUUAUAGUCUUAUUGAGUACUGUUUGUUUUCAGGAAGACCCUCAAGACGCAUCUGUUCUCGCAGGCUUUUCGCUGGAAUUAAUUUUAACAAUUUGUUUUAAACCAUUUGUUUUAUGAGAUUGUGUUUAUUGUGUCUUGUGGAAUCUUAAUCUGUUUUUUACGUUGUGUUUUUUUUAUAUUGUGUUAAGUUUUGUAUACUGCCUAGAGAUAUAAAUAUCACAUGGUAUAAAAAUAUGAUAAAUAAAUAAAUAAAUCUGGUUUUAACAU